CCCGUCUCAGGGUCGCAUCUGGAGGGUUUCCAGUACUCUACCGGCCUCGACUACGGGAAGAAGAGUCAAGCAGAGGCAGACCCAUUCCAAUCCUAACUUGGGCAGUGGGUAGCGAGUGGAAGGCCAUCUGCUACAAGU